rnacentral:rRNA from 1 species
GAUGAACGCUAGCGACAGGCCUAACACAUGCAAGUCGAGGGGCAUCGGGGCGUAGCAAUACGCUGCCGGCGACCGGCGGAUGGGUGAGUAACGCGUAUGCAACCUGCCUUCAGCAGGGGGAUAGCCCGUUGAAAGACGGAUUAAUACCCCGUAACACAGGGGCUCCGCAUGGAGAUUAUUGUUAAAGGGAUACUUCCUUCGGGGGGUAUUCCGGCUGAAGAUGGGCAUGCGUUCCAUUAGGUAGUUGGUUGAGGUAACGGCUCACCAAGCCUACGAUGGAUAGGGGAACUGAGAGGUUGGUCCCCCACACUGGUACUGAGACACGGACCAGACUCCUACGGGAGGCAGCAGUGAGGAAUCUUGGUCAAUGGACGGAAGUCUGAACCAGCCAUGUCGCGUGAAGGAGGACGGCCCUAAGGGUUGUAAACUUCUUUUGCAGCGGAAUAAAGUAUUCCACGAGAUGGGAUAUUGCAAGUACGCUGCGAAUAAGGAUCGGCUAACUCCGUG